AGUGAACGCUGGCGGUAGGCCUAACACAUGCAAGUCGAACGGCAGCACAGUAAGAGCUUGCUCUUACGGGUGGCGAGUGGCGGACGGGUGAGGAAUACAUCGGAAUCUACUUUUUCGUGGGGGAUAACGUAGGGAAACUUACGCUAAUACCGCAUACGACCUACGGGUGAAAGCAGGGGAUCUUCGGACCUUGCGCGAUUGAAUGAGCCGAUGUCGGAUUAGCUAGUUGGCGGGGUGAAGGCCCACCAAGGCGACGAGCCGUAGCUGGUCUGAGAGGAUGAUCAGCGACACUAGAACUGAGACACGAUCCAGACUCCUACGGGAGGCCGCAGUGGGGAAUUUUGGACAAUGGGCGCAAGCCUGAUCCAGCCAUACCGCGUGGGUGAAGAAGGCCUUCGGGUUGUAAAGCCCUUUUGUUGGGAAAGAAAAGCAGCAGGUUAAUACCCCGCUGUUCUGACGGUACCCAAAGAAUAAGCACCGGCUAACUUCGUG
rnacentral:rRNA from 1 species